UACGGAGGGGGCUAGCGUUGUUCGGAAUUACUGGGCGUAAAGCGCACGUAGGCGGCUUUGUAAGUUAGAGGUGAAAGCCCGGGGCUCAAAUCCGGAAUUGCCUUUAAGACUGCAUCGCUAGAAUUGUGGAGAGGUAAGUGGAAUUCCGAGUGUAGAGGUGAAAUUCGUAGAUAUUCGGAAGAACACCAGUGGCGAAGGCGACUUACUGGACACAUAUUGACGCUGAGGUGCGAAAGCGUGGGGAGCAAACAGG
rnacentral:rRNA from 1 species